rnacentral:rRNA from 1 species
UACGUAGGGUGCGAGCGUUAAUCGGAAUUACUGGGCGUAAAGCGUGCGUAGGCGGUUCGUUAAGUUCGUUGUGAAAGCCCCGGGCUCAACCUGGGAAUGGCAAUGGAAACUGGCGGGCUUGAGUAUGGCAGAGGGGGGUGGAAUUCCGCGUGUAGCAGUGAAAUGCGUAGAUAUUCGGAAGAACACCAGUGGCGAAGGCGGCUCACUGGCCCGGUACUGACGCUGAGGUGCGAAAGCGUGGGGAGCAAACAGG